GGCGUAAAGCGCAUGCAGGUGGUUAGGUAAGUCCGAAUGUGAAAUCUCCUGGCUCAACUAGGAGAGGCUGUUCAAGACUGCCUGACUAGAGGGCUGUAGAGGGGGGUAGAAUUUC
rnacentral:rRNA from 1 species